CCUUUCGAGGCGGAAGCUGGGCUCCUCCCUGCGUCUCUUUCUGGGCCGUGGAGCUGUCCGCUCUGAAACCUGAGGAAGUCGUAGUUCGGGGAGGGGUAGCUCUUGCACCUAGGCCGUUAGGAACGAGUUUUAGGUUCGAAUCCCAUCUUACGGAAGGUGGUAUUGGUCCCUUGGGUGUCCCACCCGUCUCAGCCAAACUGCGGGCCAAUUCCCGGGGCGAGCAAGGGGAGUUACCGCGCCAGUGGGUGGACUCGCCGCCUCUCGGAGUCGGGAGGAAGUCGAGCUGGGGUGCAGUUACGAAUCUCAGUUAAUAAUGAAUAGGGUGGCCAAUGGUGGGCUAGGCACAGUGGCUCACGUCUGUAAUCCCAGCACUUUGGGAGGCCGAGGCGGGCGGAUCACGAGGUUAGGAGAUAAGAGACCAGCCUGGCUAAUAUGGUGAAACCUCGUCUUUACUAAAAAUAAAAAAAUUAGCUGGGCAUGAUGGCGGGCGCCUGUAGUCCCGGCUACUCGGGAGGCUGUGGCAGGAUAAUCGCUUGAACCGAGGAGGCAGAGGUUGCAGUGAGCCGACAUCGCGCCACUGCACUCCAGCAUGGCGACAAAGCGAGACUACGUCUCAAACAAACAAACAAACAAAAAAACAAAAAGAAAAGGAAAAAAAAGGGUGGCCAAUAUAGUGAAACCCCCUCUCUACUAAAAAUACAAAAAUUAGCUGGGCGUGGUGGCGCGCGCCUGUAGUCCCAGCUACUCGGGAGGCUGAGGCAGAAGAAUCGCUUGAAGCCGGGAGGCAAAGGUUGCAGUGACCCGAGAUUGCGCUACUGCACUCCAGCCUGGGUGACAGAGCGAGGUUCCGUCUCGAAAAAAAAAACAACGAAAAGGGGACUCACUUCGGAGAAGCUGUCCUCUCUGCAAACUUAUCUGAAGAUGUGGUCUUGCUAUGUUGCCCGGGCUGAGUGCAGUGACUAUUCACAGGCCGGAUCUAGUGCACUGCAGUCUUGAACUCCUGGCUUACAGUCCUGCUGGUUCUGAGAGGCAGGGGAAGAAACGGCCACCAUGCUCUGCAGCUAGGUCUCAGCAUGAGGACCAAGAACCCUGGUGUUCCUCCCCUCAUCGGAGCCGUAUCAUUUUGGUGCAUUGGCCGGGAAAGGAAAUUCAAUCAUGAGACUGCAAACUCCAAAUGGUGCUGCAAACUGAACCACAUAUGGACACGCCAUUCUCCUGAGGACCCUAAGUUGACCCUAGGAGGAGCCCUCACUGCUGUUCCCCAUUUGAUGCCCCUUUUCAGCAGGAAGUAGCCAGAAAGAGUCGUCACCCAAAACCCCCUAACAGCAGUUAGUGUGAUAUCACCACAGGGAGGAAUGUGGUAGGAGUUAUUAAGAAAUUAUUUUAGGCAGAGAGGCAAAGGGGUCCUUGGGAAGUUUUAGUUUUUUAAAGCAUCUCCAGAAAAGUUUCUUGUAAAGCCCCGACUCUUACAGUCAGGCCAUCAACCUUUGAUAUGCAAAUGCAGGCCAUUAGAAACUGGGUCCACCCAACAUGUCAAUUCCCACAGCCUUCUUGCCCUUGCCCCACAUGUUCCUGGCAACAUGGCCACCCCCACCUAUCCUCACGUGUGUAGAACAUCAUGGCGCCCCAUAUUUGCAUAUGGGUGGGAGGGCCAGCUCUUUCUCUGGCUAUUUGAAGACAUGCCUAGUCAAACCAAUCCCCUGAGCCCUAUGCAAAUCAAACACUGCCUUCUCCAGCCUCUGUAUAUAUACCUAGCUGGUAUCCGUGGCAGGUGGGGACCUUCUCUUUCGGCUUUGGAGCCCCCUCUCCUGUCUCUGUACAGGUGAGCUGCUUCUUUCUUCCUUCUCCCUUCCUUCUAGCCCCUUCUUGCCUAUUAAACUCUCUGCUCCUUAAAACAAAAAACAAAACAACAAAAAAGAAACUCUAUGGGAAAGAAGACAAAAACAGAUUUAAAAAACUUUCAGUGCUCUAAUCUCAUAAAAAUACAUAAUUCUAUAAAAUUGUAGGUACAUACUCUUUGUACUCAGAAUUUCCAUUUAACAUUAUUUUACAAGAAGAACUCAACUAAGUGCUGGAGCUAUGCGGUUCCAAUCCUUAUUCUGUCAUUAUAUGACAUAUGACCUCAAGCAUGACAUUUCAGCAUCAUGGGCUUCACUUUCCCCAUUCAUACACAGUGCAGUGCUCGAUGCUGUUUACACACUUACGCAUUUGUACAUAUCACUGUAGUGCACAUGCUUGCCAUUUUUAAUGGUUAUAGUGUUCUAAGGGGCUAAUAAUUGUGAAAGAUAGAGCCAUGGGGAGAACAGAAACAGAGGAGUAAGAAUACAUUUUCGGGCACAUGCAAGUGAACUGACACCAGAAGACAAAGAAUGAAACAUAACAGCCUUAAAGUUUUAGAGACCAAAUAAAGGUUUAGUAAGAAAAACUAGUACUUAGAUUUGCAUGAAACAGAUCCUUAGGAUUAAUAUUUAGAUCUUACCAGAAAUCUGCCUUAAGAGAUGUGAUGGGAAAGGAGGGCUAUUAGCUUAUAAACACCAUAAGUUAUAAAGACAUAUAAUAGUUAAAACACAACGUAUUAGGUAUACAUCUAGUUGCUUUCUUAAUUGCCCUCUACUUAACCCGCUUGGCAGAUUAACUGACAAGUUCUAUUCCCUUGUAAAUUUCCUGAUGGCAUUGUCACAGGCCUUUUGCAGCUAAUUUGCUGCUUUCUAGUGUACAUAACAUGGAAGUGUUCUCUCCAAUUUAGGUGCAUGCUUAACAAGAUUUAGUUGUUUGCACCCGAAAGUUUAUCCCAGUUAUGUAAUUAUAUCCCUCAUUACACAGAUUAUUAGGUAACUGAUGGCAUGAGUGAAGAGUUGUCUUUAUGAAAACCAACUUGAAUGGUUGGAAAGAAUUGCCAGUGACACUCCGGGAGCAGUGAUAAUCCCUAGUGCCCAGAUCUUGGUUUCUAAAUAGCUACCUAUUAAAAGGAGCCAGGGAUUCUUGGAAAAAGGUUUCAUUCCAGGCCUGGGGCAUUGAAAAUGCAAGGUCAACUUGAGAUAUCUUAUGUUAGAAGGCAAUCAAGUGUCCAAAGACUAGAGAGUGAAUGUCAAAAGGACAUAAGAGAUACUUGAAGGGCUCCACCUGGCCAAAUUUGGGACAAUCUGAACAUCAGAAACAAUGAUCAUAAAUGACUUAACACAUUGAAUCAUGUGUUAUCACUGCAGAUGAAAGCAUCAAACUCUUUACUGGUAAUUAAACUCCUACACUGGUAAUUAAGGUAAAAUAAUUGCUGACUGUGCCUCUAGUGCAUUCCUAGUUGAUGAGGGAACGUUAUACAAGAAUGCCACUCGACAAGUGUAGAGUGAUAGAAUUAGAAAAUUGUCAUUUUGCAAACAUUGAUGAGACAAUGGAUUCAGGCAACGAUCACCAUUGGUUACUUUUUACCAGGUAAAAAGUUGUUGGCAAUCAAAAUAUCCAUGUGCUGCCAGUGUCAGUCCACAGAUUAAUUGCAAUAGGAAAAACUACCUUUAUAUUGGGAAGAUCUGGUGACCUCAAAUGAGUGAUCCAUUGAUAAUGAGUCAACCUGAUAUUAAUGAGACUUUUGAUAUGAUGCACUAUGAAAUACAUCUGUGAGGUGUUAUCAUUAAAAAUGUUUAAACAACCCAAUCAAGCCUUUUGCCCUAACUUCUAAUUUAUGCAAACUACAGGGGGUACCGGAACAACCCACAUGUAAAUAAUCAGUUGAAUCCUGAACAUGAGACAUUUUUCAAGACAACUGACCUGCUCUCUUAAAGAGGAAAAACUGUCCGGGCGCGGUGGUUCACGCCUGUAAUCCCAGUACUUUGGGAGGCUGAGGCGGGUGGAUCACGAGGUCAGGAGAUCGAGACAAGCCUGGCUAACACAGUGAAACCCCGUCUCUACUAAAAAAAUACAAAGAAAUUAGCCGGGCGUGGUGGCGGGUGCCUGUAGUCCCAGCUAUUCGGGAGGCUGAGGCAGGAGAAUGGGGUGAACCUGGGAGGCGGAGCUUGCGGUAAGCCGAGAUUGCGCCACUGCACUCUGGCCUGGGUGACAGAGUGAGACUCCCUCUCAAAAAAAAAAAAAAAAAGGAAAAACCAAAGUGGGGACUGUUCUAGAUAGAUGAAACAGAUAAUCAAAUACUAUGUGUGAAAACUGACUGGAUCAACAGAGGAAAUUUAAACACAGACUAGGUCUUCAGAUAUUAGGGAAUCACUGUUUUUUUUUUAAAGAUAUGUAAAUGUAUUGUGGUUAUGUAAAAGACCAUCCUUAUUUUUGUAAGAUGCAUGCUUAAGUAUUUAGAGAUGAAAUGUCAUGUCUGUAAGUUACUUUCCAAUGUUUGAUUAAAAAAAAUACGGCAAAAUGUUAGUUUUUAAAUUUAGGUGGGUAUACAGUUAAUUUUAUGAUUUUUAAAACUUUCUGUAUAUUUGAAAACUCAUAAUAAAAAGUUCUGGAAAAUAA